ACGGAAGGCAGCAGUGGGGGAUAUUGCACAAUGGGGGAAACCCUGAUGCAGCGACGCCGCGUGAGUGAAGAAGUUAUUCGUAAUGUAAAGCUCUAUCAGCAGGGAAGAAAAUGACGGUACCUGACUAAGAAGCCCCGGCUAACUACGUGCCAGCAGCCGCGGUAAUCCGUAGGGGGCAAGCGUUAUCCGGAUUUACUGGGUGUAAAGGGAGCGUAGACGGCUUUGUAAGUCUGAUGUGAAAGGCAGGGGCUCAACUCCUGGACUGCAUUGGAAACUGUCGGACUGGAGUGCCGGAGAGGUAAGCGGAAUUCCUAGUGUAGCGGUGAAAUGCGUAGAUAUUAGGAGGAACACCAGUGGCGAAGGCGGCUUACUGGACGGUAACUGACGUUGAGGCUCGAGAGCGUGGUGAGCAAACAGGAUUAGAUACCCUGGUA
rnacentral:rRNA from 1 species